AUUGAACGCUGGCGGCAGGCCUAACACAUGCAAGUCGAGCGAGUGGCGGACGUGUGAGUAAUGUCUGGGACACUGCCUGAUAGAGGGGGAUCACUACUGGACACGGUAUCUUAUCCCGCAUAACAUCAUGUGUGCCCAGAUGGGUUUAGCUUGUUGGUGGGGUAACGGCUCACCAAGGCGACGAUCCCUAGCUGGUCUGAGAGGAUGACCAGCCACACUGGAACUGAGACACGGUCCAGACUCCUACGGGAGGCAGCAGUGGGGAAUAUUGCACAAUGGGCGCAAGCCUGAUGCAGCCAUGCCGCGUGUAUGAAGAAGGCCUUAGGGUUGUAAAGUACUUUCAGCGGGGAGGCGUUACCCGCAGAAGAAGCACCGGCUAACUCCGUGCCAGCCGCCGCGGUAAUUC
rnacentral:rRNA from 1 species